UUUAUAAAGCUGGUGUUCUUGUGUGUUCGGCCUCUGUUAGAAUGGCGAGAGAGAUGUGUCUGUUCACUCUUCUUUGGUGCUCUAAAAUAUUUUCACCCCAUCGCAGCAGAGAUGACUGGAGCAAGUCACUUAAUGUGGCCGAACUGGUCUCCCGUUGAACUGGUCUACCUGAGGAAUGGUUAACACUGCAUUACAUGGUUAUCCCUCAACACCGUGGAUGAGAGAUGAUUAAAGUGAUGGAUCUCCAAAGGGAUGGUGUAAGAGCUGGUUUGAGGAUCAAAAUCUGGUCUCUACUACAAGGUCAUUGGGUCCUAAAGCCGGUCUGAGGAUCAACAUGUGGUCUCUACUACAAGGUCACUGGGUCCAAAAGACGGUUUGAGGAUCAAAAUCUGGUCUCUACUACAAGGUCAUUGGGUCCUAAAGCCGGUUUGUUUGAGGAGUCCAACGAGCGAGUGAUCCUGCUGUUGACUGACCUCUUGUGGUCUUAUUUAUUCUGCAGGUAAGCUU